UGUGAAGAUGGAGAAUUGAGCAUUAUUUGAAAGGAAAAAAAGUAAGUUUCUGCAAAGGAGGGAGACUAUUAUUGCUCUAAAUUAUUCACUGUUGUUUGGAUUGAAAUUGAGUGAUUUUUGGACUAUUUUAAACUAAUUUUAUCAUGUGAUUUUUGCCCUCCAUCACCCACCAAUUCUGCUACAGUGGUAAUGGCCGUUAACAGCACCUAAUGGCGGGCGAUAAUGG
rnacentral:misc_RNA from 1 species